rnacentral:rRNA from 1 species
UACGGGGGGAGCAAGCGUUGUUCGGAUUUACUGGGCGUAAGGGGCGCGUAGGCGGUCAGCACAAGUCAGUUGUGAAAUCUCCGGGCUUAACUCGGAAAGGUCAACUGAUACUGUGCGACUAGAGUGCAGAAGGGGCAACUGGAAUUCUCGGUGUAGCGGUGAAAUGCGUAGAUAUCGAGAGGAACACCUGCGGCGAAGGCGGGUGCUGGGCUGACACUGACGCUGAUGCGCGAAAGCGUGGGUAGCAAACAGG